UACAGAGGGUGCAAGCGUUGUUCGGAAUUAUUGGGCGUAAAGCGCGCGCAGGCGGUCCUUUAAGUCUGAUGUGAAAGCCCACGGCUCAACCGUGGAGGGUCAUUGGAAACUGGGGGACUUGAGUACAGAAGAGAAGAGUGGAAUUCCACGUGUAGCGGUGAAAUGCGUAGAGAUGUGGAGGAACACCAGUGGCGAAGGCGACUCUUUGGUCUGUAACUGACGCUGAGGCACGAAAGCGUGGGGAGCAAACAGG
rnacentral:rRNA from 1 species